UUAGUUGCCAUGGGAACCUAGUAACAGACUCUCCUGGCCCUCCUUCCCCGCCCCUUCCUCGAGCGCGGGGUGGGGCUUCGGGACCCCGGGGAUGAGCCGGGCCAGGUCCCGCCCCUCCGCGCAGGCCUCUGGGGGGCCGGGGCUUACCAUGUAGGGGAGGGGAGAUCUAUCCACAUACCUCAGGUGGCCAUGGUGGAGGUGCAGCUGGAGAGCGACCACGAGUACCCACCAGGCCUGCUGGUGGCCUUCAGUGCCUGCACCACCGUGCUGGUGGCUGUGCACCUCUUUGCACUCAUGGUCUCCACGUGUCUGCUGCCCCACAUUGAAGCUGUGAGCAACAUCCACAACCUCAACUCUGUCCACCAGUCGCCACACCAGAGACUGCACCGCUACGUGGAGCUGGCCUGGGGCUUCUCCACUGCCCUGGGCACCUUUCUCUUCCUUGCUGAAGUUGUCCUGGUUGGUUGGGUCAAGUUUGUGCCCAUUGGGGCUCCCUUGGACACACCGACCCCCAUGGUGCCCACAUCCCGGGUGCCUGGGACUCUGGCACCAGUGGCUACCUCCCUUAGUCCAGCUUCCAAUCUCCCACCAUCCUCUGCGUCUGCAGCACCGUCCCAGGCUGAGCCAGCCUGCCCACCCCGGCAAGCCUGUGGUGGUGGUGGGGCCCAUGGGCCAGGCUGGCAAGCAGCCAUGGCCUCCACAGCCAUCAUGGUACCCGUGGGGCUCGUGUUUGUGGCCUUUGCUCUGCAUUUCUACCGCUCCUUGGUGGCACACAAGACAGACCGCUACAAGCAGGAACUAGAGGAACUGAAUCGCCUGCAGGGGGAGCUGCAGGCUGUGUGAGGCUGGUGUUAGCCACCGCUCACUGCAAGCACUGCCUCCCUCCGGGGUCUGUAAGAGGCCGCAGGGGCAUACAGACCUCAUCCCCCCAUCCCCUGGCUGGAGCCACUUCCAGUGGCCACUCUCAGGCAGAGUUCAGAUUCCUGCCCGCAGGGUCCUCUGGGCUGGGCCUUGGGGCAGCUCCCACAUUCCCAGGGAUUUUCCCCAUCAGUCUGUCCCUUGGGUUUUGCAAGCUACUCUGCACUUGGGCUGGCCUCAGUUGAAGGAUCAUGCAGUAGAUAGAGGGGAGGCAGGGAGAGCUUGUGGGACCUUCAGUGCUGACUUUAGCCACCAUUUCCAUUCCUAUACAGGAUGUGAAGGUCAGAAGGCAGCCAAUUGUUGGUUUAAUUUUUUUUUUUUUUUUUUGAGACAGUCUGUUUCCCAGGCUGGAGUGUAGUGAUACAGUCACAGCUCACUGUAGCCUCGACCUUCCAGGCUCAAA
rnacentral:sRNA from 1 species